AUUGAACGCUGGCGGCAUGCCUUACACAUGCAAGUCGAACGGUAACAGGUCUUCGGAUGCUGACGAGUGGCGAACGGGUGAGUAAUACAUCGGAACGUGCCCGAUCGUGGGGGAUAACGGAGCGAAAGCUUUGCUAAUACCGCAUACGAUCUACGGAUGAAAGCAGGGGACCGCAAGGCCUUGCGCGGACGGAGCGGCCGAUGGCAGAUUAGGUAGUUGGUGGGAUAAAAGCUUACCAAGCCGACGAUCUGUAGCUGGUCUGAGAGGACGACCAGCCACACUGGGACUGAGAAACGGCCCAGGCUCCUACGGGAGGCAGCAGUGGGGAAUUUUGGACAAUGGGCGAAAGCCUGAUCCAGCCAUGCCGCGUGCAGGAUGAAGGCCUUCGGGUUGUAAACUGCUUUUGUACGGAACGAAAAGCCUCUUUCUAAUAAAGAGAGGUCAUGACGGUACCGUAAGAAUAAGCACCGGCUAACUACGUGCCAGCCGCCGCAGUAACAC
rnacentral:rRNA from 1 species